rnacentral:rRNA from 1 species
UCCAGACUCCUACGGGAGGCAGCAGUGGGGAAUAUUGCACAAUGGGGGAAACCCUGAUGCAGCGACGCCGCGUGAAGGAAGAAGUAUCUCGGUAUGUAAACUUCUAUCAGCAGGGAAGAAAACAGACGGUACCUGACUAAGAAGCCCCGGCUAACUACGUGCCAGCAGCCGCGGUAAUACGUAGGGGGCAAGCGUUAUCCGGAUGCACUGGGUGUAAAGGGAGCGUAGACGGCGACGCAAGUCUGGAGUGAAAGCCCGGGGCCCAACCCCGGGACUGCUCUGGAAACUGCGUCGCUGGAGUACGGGAGGGGCAGGCGGAAUUCCUGGUGUAGCGGUGAAAUGCGUAGAUAUCAGGAGGAACGCCGGCGGCGGAGGCGGCCUGCUGGACCGUGACUGACGUUGAGGCUCGAGAGCGUGGGGAGCAAACAGGAUUAGAUACCCUCGUGC